GAUGAAGAACGUAGCGAAAUGCGAUAAGUAGUGUGAAUUGCAGAAUUCAGUGAAUCAUCGAAUCUUUGAACGCACAUUGCGCCCCUUGGUAUUCCAUGGGGCAUGCCUGUUCGAGCGUCAUUUGUACCUUCAAGCUUUGCUUGGUGUUGGGUGUUUGUCUCGCCUUUGCGUGUAGACUCGCCUUAAAAUAAUUGGCAGCCGGCGUAUUGAUUUCGGAGCGCAGUACAUCUCGCGCUUUGCACUCAUAACGACAGCGUCCAAAAGUACAUUUUACACUCUUGACCUCGGAUCAGGUAGGGAUUCCCGCUGAAAUUAAGCAUAUCAAUAAGCGGAGGA
rnacentral:misc_RNA from 1 species